ensembl:lncRNA
UAAUUUCAAUAUAUAAUUUUAAUAUCUCUGAAAAAUAAAAUUUCAGAAACAUGAAGAAUAAUUUAGUUUUAAAGUUUAAUUUUACUAGAUAUAUCCAGAUCUGUAUACACUGAAUGUUGUUUUAAUAUUUUUUAAUCAUUUGUAACUGAUACAGAUUGAAACAAUGAUAAAUAUAGAAAAUAAGAAAGUGUAGUCUGUGUGCAUGUAUGCAUUUGUGUAUGUGUAUUGUGUAUGUGUACCGUGAAUGUGUAUCUGUGUGUUUUGUGUAAAUCUGUAUGUGUGUGUACACAUUUGUGUUUGUGUAUCUGUGUGUGCACGUUUUGAGUACAUGUAUCUGAGUGUGUAUAUGUACAUAUUUGUGUGUGUGUGUGUGUGUGUGUUGCUGGGGGCUGAGCCCAGGGCCUCCUACAUGCUGAGCAAGUUUUGUACUUCAAAGCUGGAUCUCCAGCCAUCAUUUUACUGGUUUUUUUUGAGAUAAGGUCACAGUAAGUUGCCCUGCCUACCUUUAAAUUCACUGUGUAGCAAGUUGGCCUUGAAUCUUUGAUCCACUUGCCUUGACCUCCUGAAUAAGUAAAAUACAGCCCUACGAGCCUAGCAGUAUCUCUGAUGGGGAAAACAUGAAUAUCAUGAUGAAGAUGCAAAUCUGUCAAGACAGGAAUAUUUGUCAAGGAGAAUUGCCCUGAUUUGUGACUGAAACUGAAACAAUUUCAAAGGAUCGACUUGGUUUUGGCUCACAGUUUCAGAGGCAUCAGUCUAUGGUCAGCUCAGCCAUUUCUAGUGCCAUGCUAAAGCAGAGCAUCAUCCCAUGGUAGAGCUGCUCACAUCAGGACAGCUAGGAAGGAGAGGGAGAAGAAAGGAAGGAGGGAGGAAGAGAAAGACAGAAGACAAGGUCGGAGUCCUCAGGAGCAAAUCACUUGUCAAUGAUUGGAUUUACCAGAUAAGGACCAAGCUGCUAACAUCGCCUUUGGAGAUAUACUUUAUAUACAAGCCAUAACUGUUUCUAUGCAACUGUCUCUAUUGUAACUAUGUGUUCUCAUAUUGGGCAAAGUGGGGACUAUAGAAGGACUGAUUGAGGUUGCUUAUUUCCUGGCCUGCUAAUUAUUCUUCUGCAAGAGGGCUUCCUUUUAUGCACCAACCAUCCUGUGGCAGGGGCUGAAGGCAAGUAGGCUUGACUUUGAGACGGGACUCCAGCCAACAAAAGACUUAGCCCCAGCAGGGCCACUGAGACAGACAUCUAUCCCUACAUGGAUGCCAGAGUCUGUCAUGAGGUGGGUUGGGUUAUGAGUGUGGUGGGAGGAAAAACAGGUAUGAUUCACCUGUCCUAUUUCCUGCCCAAGGGCCUCUGGGCUACACCCACAACAAGCUUGUAUGCUGACUCCCCAGAGCUGCUUGUAGCCACUCUUAGCAUAUUUCCCACACAGGCUCAGAUUGACCCAAGUUCAGAGCUAGUGGAAAACAUCAUUGACUCCUGCUUAACAGGGUAGGAGACAAAAAGUAAUCGGGAUAUUUUUAUCUGCCCCAUGUGAUUAAGAAUAGUCUUCAUCCGCAGUGAUGUUUUGUAAACAGUUUAGUCAUAAGCACCUCACUAGGCAUGUCUGCCAGGGCAAAAUUUAUGGUCUGCCUAUGAUCGGUUUUGCUGUGUUACUUCGGCUGAACCAAGAUUUAUGUGGUGUUGUCUUCAUGCCAAUCGCCAAACUAGGCGCUGGGCAAAAUUUAGGAAGGAGACUCUGGCUAUGAGUUUUUAAUGGACUGCUUUCAGCUGUGUGAGGAAAUUGUGUAUGUGAAGAACAGCUACAGAAACAAAUCAGAGAAGCAGACAAGGAGCCGGGGUCAUUCAUUUAGCUAGCGGAGAGUGCCUCUCUCUUACCUAAGCAAUCAUCCCAGUGAACCUCAAGCUGAUUACUGUCUGUUCCACAAUGAAAUGUUGAUGCUGGGUACAAGUGAUCGAAGGACCCUGGACUACAGGAAGGAUGAACUGUGCUGCAUGCUGCGUUCUUGUACCCUCCCCCAGCCUCUAGGCCAGUGAUUGCACCUUGGCUGUCCAGCACCAACACUAGGACAGCUCUUAACAAUAUUGUUGCCCGAAUCCACUGGAGCCCAGUAAGUGACAUUGUCUUGGACACUGAAUGCUGGCACAUUCUCAUUGUUAAAGCUUCCCAGAUGAUUGCAAUGUGUAGCCAAGGCUGGCAUUUGCUAAGCUGGCUAGCAAGCUAUUGGUUGCAUGGUAAUUGCUCAGCAAACAUUCAGUAAACUGAACUUGGGAACAAUUAAUUUUUUCGCAGGUGCCACUCCAAAAGAAAAACAAUGAGGAGCGAGCUACCCCCCUUAUAAUUGUUGAGCUGCAGACAGAACCAUUUGUCUAGCACUGCAGCCCCUCUGCUAUGAAAUGGUAUGUGUUUGGAGCAGAGCAGUGGCCAGUAUUCAUCUCUGCUGGGAAGCAGUGAGGCUGCAGUGUGGCUAAGGCUUUUUUUUCCAGCUUUGAGUCCAGCUUUGAAAUCACUGCUGUUUUAAAGUUGUACUGCAUUAUUGCCUUUUGCAGAACAAAUAGCCCCAGUUCAGAUUCUCCCAUUUGUCUACGAUAGAAGCAGCUUCCUUUGGUACCUGGGGGAAAGUUUGGCUGUUUGGCCCUGGCAAAGGAAUAAGAAAGGUUGUUCUCGGUAGAUAAAUGCACUCUAGGUCACUCAGUUCUUGUACUUUACAUUUUUGCCAAAAUAUGGGUCUAGAGUUAAGGUUAAAAUAUAAAUGAGUUAGAUAAGCUGCAUUAUCAAAAUAAUUACAGUGAGUAAAAAAACAGAUGGAUAGAUAGGUGAAUGACCAAGUAAUAACUUAGACCCCUGUAGUUGCCCCAUUGGCUCUGUAAUGCCAAACUGAUGCAAGGUGCAGCCUAGUAUACAAGUGACAGGGUCAAAGACGCUAACACCAAGGUUCCAGGGAAAAGGCAAGAAGGCCAGACAGUGAGGGGUAGCAUUGGAGUCACUGAAAGAGACCCGGAGGGGCUGAAUUGUAAAGUGGUGAUGGCGAAAUCUAAGUUUCAGUAGAGACCCCAGGAUUGAGGAAAGCUACAGGCCCUGAGUGGAACUGGUCCCACAGAAAGGCCACAUGUGACACAAAUGACUGACAUAUGGAAGCAGGUUACACAAAUGUUGUAGAGCCAAUGACGCCACUAUGUUUGCCAGAUGCUGGAUGAGGAGUUAAAGGUUUGGUGUUCGCCUUGCUGAGUUUCAGCCUUGCUUUGGCACAGUUUUUCCUUCCUGUUUUUCUCUUCCUUCCUUUGGGAGUGAGAGUGUGUAUGUCACUAUGAAUUGGAAGCUUGUAACUUAAAAAGGAUUUCACAGGGGUUCACAGUGAAAAGGCUGAAUUAAAACUUUGGUCUCUUGAUCAAUGUUGGGACUGUUAAAAUUUUAGGGCUCUUAAAUUGGAACUGAAUGUAUUUUCUUUAUGAGGAACCUGUGAGACUAUGAAGGCCACAGGUAGAAUGUUAUGGUUGGAGUGUAAAGUAUCUCCCAUGGGCUCAUGUGUCUGAACAUUUGGUUCCCAGCUAAUGACCCUGCUUGAGAAGGUUACGAAACCUUUAGGACAUGGUACACAACUGAUAGAUGUUGAUAUCAGUAGUGUUCCUUGGGGAUUUUAGUGAUGCCCAAGGACUCUUCUUCCUGAUCAGUGCUAUGUGAGAAGCCACCACUGCAAGUUUCCACCAUGCAAAUUCCCACCACUGCAGGCUCCCACCACUGCAAGCUCUCACCAUAUAAACUCCCUCCACUGCAAGCUCCUGCCAUGCAAAUUCCCACAACUGCAAGUUCCUACAAAUCAACCCAAUCUAGUUGCUAUACGGUUCCAGGCAUGGUUAUCUGAAUCCUCUGAAACUAUAAAUCAAAGUAAAUACUACUCAUUAAAGAGAUUUGGGAGACCUGGGUGGGUGGGAAUAAGAAGACAGGGAGAGGGAGAGUAACUGACUGUCUUUGUUAAGUGUGACAUUCCCCGUUGCUGUUGAGAAUAUCAUUCCCCAAAUUUCUAGUCACCAUCAGGAUUUCCAUAGAUUGGGUUCCAGGUCAUUGGGAUUAAUUAAGAUCUGAGUUUACAGUAGGUAGUCCCACAUUAUGGAUCACAGAGCCAGCUCAGGAUGCCUAAAGCCUUAAAUUUUUAAGACAAAAUAGUCAUGGUGCUAACAUGUAUUCCAAGAAUGUCUCCUAGACCAGAAUAGAAAGAUCCCAUGGUUCAGGAGUCAGGAAGCCAGUAGAAAGAGCUCUCCAUCCCCUACCUGUGCUCUGAAAUGUUCAAAUCACUGGGUCAACAACAGGGAGGUCCCUUAGCUACCUAUUUGCUCCUCUGGUAGUAACUUUGGUUUCUUUGUAUGACAUAAGCUUUCUGGUAACCACUUAGUUUAUUAUAGCACCUGCCAUUCUCCACAGCCAAUGGAGACUGUUUUCAGUGGGUGGGAGACUAAACAUGUAUUGAAUAGGUUCGUGAUGGAUAUAAGAAUGGAGUGUUAGCGGAUGACUUGGGAAAGCAGAUGACACACUUGAGAAUUAACUACAGCAGGAGAAGGGCAUUGGGAACAUAAAAAUGGAAGAGCAUUAGAAAGGACAGCGAACACUGUAUUAAAACAACAUAACAGGGCUGUGAAGGAAAAGAGAGACUUCCCUUCAGAGCUUGAGAAAGAAUUUCAUUAAAAGGGGCAGCUUAAAGAACGAAAGAGCUGCAGGAUGGGAUGGGGAAAAAGCAGGGGUCAGGUACCAGGAUGGGCCAUAGUUCCAGGCUAUAAAACCACAGCACAGAACUUCCUAACUCUCUGUCCCAGGAAGGAAGUGAAGAGGACAUGGCUUGAUUUCUCCAAGCUGUGAAAUACAACCUCUUAGAGUAACCAGCAUUGAAAGGGGACAGGCCUAUAAUAUAUCCAUUUGAAUUUGGUGUCUUAGUCUGCUUUUUCAAUUCAUUUUUUUUUCAGAAUUUCCCAUUGGACAGUGUGCCAAUUCUUAAAUUGUGUAUACUUGGGAAACCCAUCAGCUGGUCUUAGCCUAGUAAGAACUAAUCUCAUUGAAUUUCUUGCCCUUCUUCAUCUGAGAGGAGAGGAGGAAAGAAGCCAGAGGGCAAGGAAGAUAUUAGCAAACCAUGUUUAUUUCAUGGCUGUGUUUAAAGCUGUUGCCACCAGAUUCCACUGGAAAGGAAACAGGUUCACUGUUAGCUACAGAUAACUCAUGAGCAAGUUUACUAGAAAAUUUUACUAGUCCCCUGGUGGUGGCACAUGCCUUUAAUUCCAGUAUUCAGCCAGCAGAAGCAGGUGGAUCUCUGUGAGUUUGAAAGCCAGCCUGGUCUACCAAGUGAGUUACAGGACAGCCAGAGAUACACACAGAGAAACCCCUGUCUUGAAAAACAAAACAAAACAAAAAUUUUAGAACAAGCUGAAACCUCUAUUUUGAUAAAGGUUUCUUUACCUGAAAACAUUUACCUCCUCCACUCUUCUCUCCCUCUAUGGCUCAUCAUACUGCAAAGUUGCUCACUCACGAUUAUAGCCAGGCAUCUUCAGCUACAUGUCUUCAUUUCCAUGGUGCAUCAUUUCAUGCACCAUCAGGCCUUCAGGCAACAUACCCAGUGCAUGACCUUGCUUGUGGGAAAUAGGAAGAAGAAGUGCUCUGAGUCAUACUUUUCUAAGCUGUUUCUGACUACAAAAUGGGGAAAAUUCCUUUCCCAAGCUUCCAGGCAGAGUCUCCACACAUCUUCAGCCAGAGGAAAUGUGUGUCAUCCUAGCAGCCAGGAGCCCUGGGGAAGGCAAGACCCUGAAGGCCGUGGAGCAAAGUCAUGAACCACUUGGAACUGAGAAGAUACAGGGCAAAGGAUUCUUAGCCCUAAAUGACCCUAAAUCCCAGCUCCAUUCAUUCCAGGCUGAUGUUCUUGGGGAAAGUCUCUCCCCUCCCCAGCUUCACUCUUGGCCUGUAGAACAGUCUCCACCAGCUGCUCCACAUCUCAGUUAAAGGUGUUAGUUUCUGCAUUACGGGCAUAGUUCCGCAUCCCGUAAUUUUUCUGAAACUAUGGCCCUGUGAGUGAUUUAGACACCAUUAUCAUGUGCACUUCUGUGAUGAUAAAACCACAGAGGCUAGCUAUGGUCUGAUACCAACUUUGCUUGCUGAGUCAUUGGGAAGUCCAACUAUUGUGGUGUAUGUGGAAGGGCUUGGAAACUAGUGAUUUAAAGAUGACAACAGAGGAAAUUGACAACCUCAGGAUUUCAGAGUCAGACAGGACUGGCUGCGUGGCUGGUGGUGGAGAGCUUGGAAAGAUGCUUCCCUGAGCUUCAGUUAACCUCCUUUGGGAGCAGACAAGAUCAUGGUAUCUCCUUCCUGGUGUGGUAAUACGAAGAAGGAUCAAUUCUUUUCUUGACACUCUCAGCAUAGUAGCAGUAUUUCAUCUGCACGUAUGUGGGCCAUUCCUCAUGACAGGAGCAUGAUUUUGAGGCAGGGUAAAAAGACAGGGAACAUUGAGGCAUGCCAGGAAAGGAAAAUUGCCCAUUGUUUCUGGGCCUAGCUUGCCUGUCCAACUGAUGGUGUCAGGAAACUGAUAAAGUCAACAUUAUCUACUGAGGAACCCAUGUUUGUCUAGAGACAUCUCCAAGAGUGAUUCUGAAUGUGGCAAGUAAAGUGUUGUCUGUGGGCUCCCCCCUCUCUUGGCUAAGUCUAAACAAUGCCCUUCAUAAGUCCACUUUACAAAUUUAUUUAUUAAAGAAGAUUCUUUAACUUUUUUCUUUCUUUUUUUAAUUAAUUCUUAUUUUACAUAUCAAUCCAAGUUCCUUCUCCCUCCCAUCCUCCCAUAAACUACAUUUUGGGGCUGGUGUUAAAAUAAAAGAGAGGCUUCUUAGCAACCUUUACAGAUGUAACUUGAAGGCCACCAAACUCCUAUCUGUAUCUGUUGUAAAGAAGCCUAACUGUGACUCUCCCUGGAGAAACCCAUCCCACCGUUGGGUGUGUCUACUAUUCCUUCCCUGGUGUCUUUUUCUUUUUAACCUGCUUAGAUUUACACUAAAACAUCUCUCUCUAACUCUGCUGCAUAAUGGCUAAGCUUGCAAUGCUAACCUCCUCCUCUUGACACCAUGAAUACUGGUUUUGACUGAGCAGAGAAAGGCCUCUAAAAAGGAAAAGUACUCUUUCAGAAUAUUGUGAGGGAUGGGUUAAGGCUGCACCUCUCUCUGUGUCAUGGCUGACAAUUUUAAGGUAUUGAUCACAAAGUAGUUUCUUCUCAGGCAUUUCCUUCCAUGCCCUAGUCACUCCUUAUUCCUGUUUAUGUGUAAAAUGCAGAACACUGAUCACUACUGUUGAAAAACAAACAAACAAACAUACAAACAAAACCACUGUGUACUGUGAAUAACAAAUGCUGAAGCCUCUCUCUGCCUUGCUGGAAUGAAUGAAGUUCUACUUACGCAAACACGGGGCAGAGUUCUUUCUAGCUACUCCUACUCCCUACCAGCCUCAAACCAAGGUUCCCUUGUUUGGGCUAUGCUCUUCCACCCUACCUUCCACCCCCCAUCUGCCUUGUGCCUUUUGUGCCUUGACUCUGAAGAGACAAGUCUCCCCACAGUCCCCUACUGCGCACGCGCGCGCGCACACACACACACACACACACACACACACACACACACACACACACCACUAUGCUCAUCAUUGUGCCCCCAGCACUGCCUUGAGUGUCGCUUCCUGGUUCCACACUCUGAGCAGUUGAAGCCACCCAUAUGGUAAUUGGUGGUGGGGAGCUCUGCUUUGCCCAGGCUUUCAUUGUCUCCUUUUGCCACUCCAUUUUUAGCUCACUUAUGACUCACACGGGGAUGUACACCAAGAAAAAUAUCAGUUGGGGCUCAGACUGUGUCUUUCAGAGUCAGCCCUCCAGAUGUUUCCAGCAAUCCAGGAGUUUUGGUCGUAUAACUGAAUUCCUGUCCACUUAGGUGAAUCCUUAACUAGUCCUCACAAUGUGGCCUCAUUCAGACACAAACUGGCUUAUACUAGUUAAGAAAAAGAUUACUACCUGGGUGUCAUGGCAUAUGCCUAUAACCUAGGCACUGAAAAUAGCAAGUGGAGGCUACAGGAUAAGGGAUCAGGAGUUCAAAGCGAUCCUUAACUACCUGGUGUGUUUAAAGCCAGUCUGUGUUAUGGGGAGAUCAUAUCUCAAAAACAAACAAAGGAAUGAACAGACAAGAAAAAAAAAAGGAAAGAAAAUAAAGGUCUCAUGACUCAUAACACACUGACUGUGGAACUUUGGAAUUGUCUCGGAUGCAAAUGCACCUUCCUUCCCUCCUUCCUUCCUUCCUUCCUUCCUUCCUUCCUUCCUUCCUUCCUUCCCUCCCUCCCUCCUUCCUUCCUCCUUUCCUUCCUUCCUUCCUUUCUUCCUUUAUUUCUUUCUUAAUAGCAGCCCUAUGAGGCUUUGCAAGCUAGUGUCAAACUUCUGGCCUCUGACCUCUUCUGACCUCUUGAAGAUUCUUCUGGCCUCAUGCAAGCAAAAUAUAUACACACAUUUUUAAAAGAUAUAAUUUGUAUUCUUCAAUGCACAUUAUGAUUAUUUGAUUUAAAGAUGAUACAACAUAUGAACAUACCAGAAUGUCACAUGGCAUCCUAUAACUAUGUACACCUGUAUGAUGAAGCAUUGUUCUAAUUAUUCUUUAUCAAUAAAAAUUCAGAAGUCAGAUAUUGGGGUAAGAGCUUGAAAGAUCAGAGAAGCCACCAGUCAUCCCUACCUGCUCUGUCCCUUCCUCCAGACAGUGAGCCAGAUCCCUUUCUGCCCACCUUACUACUUCCUGUCCUAUCUAUCCUCAGUCUUCCAAAACCUCUGUGUAGUUAAUUUUGGUCAGCUAGUGGCUAACUCUGCCCUCUGACUCCAAGCAAGCUUUAUUUAUCAGAACACAAUCAAAAUAUCACACAACAGUUUAUCUUAUGUGUAAAUUAAACAAUAAAAUCUACAGACAAAAGUAAACACCAUAGUGACCAGAAAGUGAUACCAUAAUACAAAUGUUGAUGAAUGCAAUCAAUAGGGACAUUAGAUGCUUAGGCAAACUACUUUCACAAACAAGAAACAAAUGAUUAAAAAGUAAAUGUGCAGGCUAUAAAAAUAAAGGGUAUUAAUAAACCAGAACACUUUCUGUCCAAAAUGCAGAGUUGUCAUUUUUUAAAAUUUUUUCCUAAAGAAUGCCUUGUUUGGACACCACUGGGCAACUGGACUUGUUCUGACUGUGUGUGUGUGUGUGUGUGUGUGUGUGUGUGUGUGUGUCCAAAUCUUCGCUCUUUUCAUGGCCACAGUUUGCCUCCCAGAGCCUGCAGCUGCAGGCUGCUGUCUGUGGUUGGGCUGGUCGGUGAGCUGGCUCUAGCUAUGCUUCAGAAUUUCCGUUGGCCACUAACGGCCAAGCUCCUUCAGUGUGUCCUCAGCUGCUUUGGCCCCAGACAGGCUCUGUGCUCAGCAAAGGCCUCUCGGUGAUUUCUUUUUUGCUAACAGUUUUAAUAGUGUGAUUUUUUCCCCUUCAAAAACUAAUUCCAUGAUGUUUGGCCGUUGGAAACAUCAGACUGGCUCUGUAGAGAAGACAUUUCCCCAAAGUAAAUCCAGUCCGGUGAGGAGACUAUAAACAUGCACUACCAUGUUGCUCAGCCACACAAGAGUUCUAGGAGCAUAAGCGUUUUCUUUAAUCCCAGGAAGAUUUGAAUUUAUUUUAAAUGCAUGGCAUACAAACUCAAUAAAUUAUCAGACACCGGUAAGAAAACAAGAGGAAAAAGCAGCACAUUUGCUGAAUGAAAGUAUUGUCAGAGAACCCUUGAGUUUUAAAAAUCUAUUGCUUUUGGUGUGUGUGUGUGUGUGUGUGUGUGUGUGUGUGUGUGUGUGUGUGUGUGUGUAUGCGUGGGCAUUUCUGUGUACAGAGACCACAGGUCAAUGCAGGGUCUUCCUCUACUGCUUUCUAAACUGUUUUUUGAGACAGGGUCUUUCCCUGAAUAUGUGCUCUGCCCUUGGCUACACUGACUGCCCAGUAAGCUCAGAGCAUGACUUGUCUCUCCCCUCCACCCCACUGCUAGCACUGGAUUACAGGCACAUUAAAUACUCCCUGACCCCCUUUUUUAUUCUUAUGUGGCUGCUGGGGAUCUGAACCUGGGGCCUUGUGCUUGGAUAGCAAGCAUUUUACCUACUGAGCCAUCUCCCUAGCACUGCCAGUGAUUUAAAAGAAAAAAUUCUAUUAGCAUAUGUCAUUUGUAUGACAUCAUUGUGACAUUUCCAUCCAAGAACUGCAAUCAUAUCCACUCGUCUUUUAACAUUUUUUGCCUCCCUCCAUGCCCCUAUAAGCACCUCUGCCAACAAACAUACAUCCUUCUAGUCCCAUUUAUUUUUUAGAAAAUUGAUACUGUGUAUGAUAGAAAUCAUGUGGCGUUUGUUUCUCUGGAUCUGCUUUGUUUCACUUAAGAUAAGGCUCUUCAGCUCCAUCUCUAUUCCUGCAAAUGCCAUGACUUCAUUCUUGUGUGCAGCUGAAUAAUACCCUGCUGUGUCUAUAUGCCACCUUCUCUCUUUUAAAAAUGUUUAUUACUCUUAGCAGUGGUAGUAUUAAUAGUAUAUCUGUGGUUUGUGGGGGGGGGUGUGAGUGCAUACACACCCAUUCAUGUGUGCAAGCACACAUACAUGUACACCAUGUGCAUGCCAUAGCCUGCAUGUGGGGAUCAGGGGACAACUUUUGGGAGUCUGUUCUCAUCUUCCACCAUCAGAGCAUCAGACUCACACAGCAAGCCACCUCCCAAGCCCUAAGGCACAUUUUCUAUUCCCACUCAUCCACAGAUGGCGUCAGGAUGACUCUGUAACCUAGUUAUGUGACUAGUGCAGCAAUGAACACCAGUACAAUUCCACGUUUUCUAGGCCCCUUCCCACUCAUUUUCAGAGCAAUAGCAUCAUAAUAGAUACCCAAACUAACAUCAUUUUCCCCCUCAUGUCAGGUGGGAACCCGUUUCCUCCAUAAGGAGAGCCAUUAUCAUAAGUCACAAGGAACUAGCUUGACCUGAACUGAUGGGUGCCUCAGGACCUUAGGGACAUGCUGUCAGUUGCCCUAGACCCGAUGAGAACAGUGUGGGGCUGUUAAUUUGCUUAUAAACAGAAUAAAACCAUAAUUUCCCUUCCCUGUUCUCAAGCAUAGUGUGAGCAGCCCCACCCCACCGCCCGCUGUGCCUUAACAACUGUAGAGAACAAAGUGGAACCAAAGCCAUGCUGACCACAGAAUGGUGUGAUAUUAGAUCAUGUGGGAAAAUUUUUACUCUGCAAAGGGCUGCUGAGGUGCCUGCAUCCUGACUCCCUGAGGAAUUCUGGAGCCCACAGUAGAAGUCCUCACAGAUAUUAGAUGAUACUUUACAUCAGUUUGCCUUCCUGUCACCAACUAGGACAUGGAGUCCCUCACAAAGGCUGAUUACCCCUCCAUCAAAACAUCUGCAGCAGAUGUAGAGCAUUGAGGGUGAAGGUGGUACGAAGACCAAAUUCUGAGGGCCAUUGUGAUUUUUCUCAUACAUUCCUUCAAUGGUUCUGAGAGUUGAAGUUACUUUAUCACCAUGUCACAGAUGAGAAAACAAUGCCUCAAGGACUAACUUGCCUCUUCGAUGGAAAUCAGAGGUGGAGAGACUUCAAAUCUAUUGUAGAGCAGUGGUUCUCAGCCUUCCUAAUGCUUUGACCCUUUAACACAGCUCCUCGUGUUGUGCUGACCCCCCAACCAUAAAAUCAUCUUCAUUGCUACUUCAUAGCUGUCAUUUUGCUACUGUUAUGAAUCUUAGUGUAAAUAUCUGCUAUGCAGGAUAUAUGAUGUGCAACCCCCGUGAAAGGGUCAUUCAACCCCCAAAGGCAUCACGACCCACAGGUUGAAAACUGCUACUCUAGCGAUUCCACUAGGAUGACUGUUUCAAAGGGCUAGCUGACCUUGGGGUUGGGAGACACUAAAUAUUACAGAGUUAUAUUACAGAAAAGGUACUGCAUUUGCUGCAAUGCUUUGGUCUGCCUUCAUUAUAGUUCAUCGUGCAGGCCUGAGGCCCCUCUGUGAGUUCAGCUGGACAAAGUAGCUGCGGUGCCCCAUGGGAGUAAGCAUGACUGAGCAGAUCUUUAUUUCUCAAGAUCAGAUGUCAUUUGAAGAUAGAAGAAAGUGAUUCUGAAAACCUUUUUCCAAAUAAAACAAGCUUGUGAGAAUUUUGCUGCCAACAAAUCUAUUCCACUAUUCUUGAUUUCAGUUCUUUUACCAGGAAGGAAAGAUUCUGGAUGAAACCCCUCUGAAAGCUGAGUGAGCAGCAUCAUCUCCUUCCACUGGAUCCUGUGGUGGACACAUGUGUAACUCAGUCUGUACCAUCUAGCCCAGUGGAUUUUAUCUUACUUUCUCUGGAAAGUAAAUAUCAUUCUUUUGCUAGGAUUGAGAUACAUCACCAGGAGCAAGAGUGAUGAUUCAGAUCUGUGGCAGGCACAUGAUUGCCCUUGGGGGUGAGAGACAGCUGGUGCUGGGCAGUCACCAAGAGACACCACUGGCCCCAGGGCAGAACCCACAGACGACACCUCCUCCUGGAAUGCAACAAAGGUCACUGGCAGGACAAACCAGGAGCCUGGAAUUGUUUUCAAUUCAUUUUCAACCUGAUGAUCCAGAUGAAGAACUCCCAGGUCCAUCUCCAGCACCAUGUCUGCCUGUGUGCCACCAUGCUUCCCACCACGAAAAUAGACUACACCUCUGAAACUGUAAUCGAGCUCCAAUGAAACAUUUUUCCUUAUAAGAGUUGCUGUGGUCAUUUGUUUCUCUUCACAGCAAUAGA